GCAAAGAGUCGGACACGACUGAGCAACUGAACUGAACUGAACUGAAUAGACAAGAAUUCCUGCCCUCAUGAAAUAUGCAUUCUAACCUGAAUGCUAUUUUUGUGAAAACAAACCAACAAACAUCUUGCUUUGCUAUGUCUAGUGAUACAAUAUGCUGGUUUUCUGAAAUAACUUAUUUUUCAAUACUUAAAAAAAAGCUUAAAUGUUAAAUAUUUUAAACAGUGCAAAAUAUGCAUAUCCUUUCUUAAAUAUAUGAUCAAUCAGAUGGGAAGAUUUUUAAAACACAUGGUUGUGUGUGCCUAUGGAUAGAAGAGAACUGACAAGAAAAUAAUUUGGAAAAGUAAUGAAGAGUUAGAAAGAGAAAGCACACCAUGCCUUUGAGAGAUAGAAAAAUCACUAGCACAGAAAUGGUUUAUCAGAAUAUUGUCCUUAGUUGUUUUUCAAGUUCAUCAAUCCAACAUGUUCUCUAUGAUUUAAGUUCUUAAAUUCUGUGCUGGAUCUUAGGUUAAAUCCAAGAAGUGUUAAAUUCUAAGAGACUAUUUCUUACCACAGAUGAUAUUAAAACUGCCUUCUCAUAAAAUAAUAAAAUCACCAGCAUUAUAAUUAGAAUAUCCUAUUUAAGCAAAAAUGCUUCUUUAGUGUGGUCUUCUGCUUUGCUGAAGUUCUACAUCUUUUAAACCCACUAUGAAAAGCUGUUAUAAAGUCUCAUGACAUUUUCUUCUUAUUUUCAAACCAUCCAAGUUUUUUGGGGAAAAAAGGAGCAUUGUAAACUUAUUUGUUACUUCAUUGGAAGGAAAAGUGUUUCAUGCGCACCAAAACAAGUUUCAAAAAAAUAAAAUAAUGAAAAAGAUUUGAAAUGUGAAAUAAUGGCCAUGCAGUUUAGAAUGUGAGAGUGCUGGCCAGGAAAAUUAUGUAAAACACUGCUCUACAAGGUCCCCUGAUGCAUUCUGGGAGCUCAGAUAGUGAAAAAUAUCAAAUGAGGAUAAUUCACAAAUGCACAGUAACUCUACGGUAUUUUUCACACCCAGAAUCUGCUAAACUACACAGGAGUUUAGGAAUAUAUUUAGAAAGGAAAAUGCAGGUCAAAUGUAUUCCUCUCACACAUGUUUAUAUUUAUUGAUUCUAGUCAAGAUCGUUUCUUAAGAAAGUUAAGAGGCCUGGUUAUUUUGUUCACAUCACUUAUAAAAAAAAAAAAACCACCAACCUGAUCUUAUUCAUUAUGUUUCAGCUAUUUUAAAAUGAUUAAAUCCUAAAGUUGGUUUAUUUUUAAGAAAAAGACAGAACUCUGGGUUGACUUUGUAAAAAGAAAGUGAAAGUGAUAGUUGCUCAGUUGUGUCCGACUCUGUGACCCCGGGAACUAUACAGUCCGUGGAAUUCUCCAGGCCAGAAUACUGGAGUGGGUAG
rnacentral:lncRNA from 1 species